rnacentral:lncRNA from 1 species
UUCCAUUCCCCAAAAGAAGAAAAAAUCAAAGACCAUUUUGGCACAUUUACACUUAUUUACUUCGAAUCUGCUUAUGGUCUUUGAUAAUUCCUUUAUCUAAUUUGUCCUAAGACCACUACUACUCCAAAACCACGGGAAACUUUGGUUUACAAUGAAAGCUCAGAGGACACGAAGGAACCUCUCAUUUUUUCGAGGACCGGACCUAGAGCUUCUUCUAAGGAAAGUGUGAGUCAUAAGAAGAAAGGAACUUUCCAAAAUCCCAAAUCCAAAAAAGAAUCCGCUGCCUCGACCAUUAGUCCCUCCCAACAAGAAAAAG